ensembl:lncRNA
GGCUAAUGGGAUAUUGUUCUAUGAUGCCUUUUGCAAUAAAUGCACACUAGCUGAGGGUGGGGUUUAGGCAAUGCUGUCUCAUUUCAUCCACUAUCAUUCGAACCAUAUGUCUCCUGUCCGAGAUAUCAGGCUUCUCCUUGUCAUUCAGCUUCCUCCGGAGGCUGGCUCUGCACUUCUCUAGGGGUACUCUAAAUGAUGUGGUCCAGUUGCUGUUUCCAGACGGAAUCAUGGGGGACUGCACUGUUGUUUCCAGUUCUGAGACUGGUGUCAGGGCCAACGCUGGUGACGCGACCCUUCAACCGGGGUCGUCUGCCUCCCUCAGACCCAUUGCAGAGAGACUUUCUACAAGUCUCCCGAGAGUCUCGUCAUCAAUAUGGGGGAGGGUGCCACGUAUGAUGUCCUCCAUCACUCGUGACCUAAACAGACAGAAUGGUGGAGAACAGCAAGAUCGAGAUCAAACCUCCUAUAUACAGGCACCGGGUAAUAGUCAGCAAGACUGUCAGCACAUAC